GAUCUGGAUCUAUCACUUUCUGGAUAACCAUCCUUUAGUGAUUAAAUUUUGAUUCAGUCAUUAUUGCUUUCUUAAAAUUAUAAAAAUAAUAAAUGCUUAUCAUGGAAAAAAUUGGAAAAUAGAAAAAUAAAGAAAAAAAUUAAAAAUUUUCAGUGACACUUAUUGCUGUUAAUAUUUGCCAUCUUUCCUUCCAUUCAUUCUAUCAAUGUAACAACCAUCUCAAGAGGAUGUUACAAAGACUAAAUGAAAUUAAAUAUGGAAAUAGCUACUAUAAAAAUUAGGUUGUCAGAGAUAAAGAAUGACAAUUUCAAGAAUUCAAAUUACUACCCACUGGAGUUUUUUAAUGAAAUCAGGAGUACAGAAAAAUAUGUUAAUUACCAUCUAGUCUACAUGUCAUUUUAGAACAAAUGGUCAGAUUUAUGAAAUACUUCCAACUUCUAAGACUCAUUGUCACCUGCUUGUAAAAAUGAUGAGACUGUAAUAAGCCUCACUUUAAAGACUGCUAGCCUGAAUAAAAGGUGAUCUCUCAUUUUUCAGUGGAAAUAUCCAGACAUAGAGAAAUAGGGAGGAAGUUUCAGAACUUAAAUAUAUAAACUUACAGUGAUAUAGAUAAAAAGUCAAGUAUUCAUUUGUAUAUUUAAUAUCUUAAUUGAAUUAUACCUACAAAGUUAAAAAUGAUAUCAGUACAGCAUCACUUCAGAAAUAUUGCUUUUUCUGCCCUCACAUUUCAUUACAAAUUUUGUUCAGACUUUUCAUAUGCAUCUAAAACAUCCACUUUAGAGCAAAUUCCUGAGUUGUCUCCGGGUCCGAGUUUCUGUUUGGGCAUCCCGUUAUGAUGCUGUCACUGGAUCUUUUAUCUGAAGAGAAAAUUACUCACUUACAAAAUUUUUUAAAAAAACAUUUUUUUCAUUCACUUCACUAUUCUAUACUUGUGCGAUGUAAGCGUAAAGUGUAGCGCUUUUCGUCCCAAGUAAUAUUUGCCAAAUCCAUGUUACCAGCGCUACCUCUGAAACGAGCAUUGGGUUUAUUUCAGGUUGAUAUCUUGUCCAAGCAGUAUUGUUUGAUCAAAGCAGAGCAGUAGAAGAGCUUCCUCUACUGAGGACGUUGCCCAAGGACAUAAGGCAACCUGAGGGAUUGUGUUG